rnacentral:rRNA from 1 species
UCCUGGCGUCAGGCGAACGCUGGCGGCGCGCCUAAUACAUGCAAGUCAACGGGUUGCCUUCGGGCAGCCAGUGGCGACGGGUGAGUAACACUGGGUGACCUGCCCUGAAUGGGGAAUAACGCGGCGAAAGUCGCGCUAAUACCGCAUAGCUUUGGUACUUCGUUGGACCAAGAAAGCCUUGUGCGCUUCAGAGGGGCCUGCGGCCGAUUAGCUAGUCGAGGGGUAAUGGCCCACCGAGGCAUCGAUCGGUAGCUGGUCUGAGAGGAUGACCAGCCACACUGGGACUGAGACACGGCCCAGACUCCUACGGGAGGCAGCAGUAAGGAAUCUUCCGCAAUGGGCGCAAGCCUGACGGAGCGACGCCGCGUGCAUGACGAAGCCCUUCGGGGUGUAAAAUGCUUUUCUGGGGGACGACAUAAGACGGUACCCCAGGAAGAAGCCUCGGCUAACUACGUG